AGGGUAACCUGCGGAGAGAUCAUUA
rnacentral:rRNA from 1 species